ACGGGGGGGGCAAGCGUUGUUCGGAAUUACUGGGCGUAAAGGGUCUGUAGGUGGCCAACUAAGUCAGACGUGAAAUCCCUCAGCUUAACUGGGGAACUGCGUCUGAUACUGGUUGGCUUGAGUGCAGGAGAGGAAUGCGGAAUUCCAGGUGUAGCGGUGAAAUGCGUAGAUAUCUGGAGGAACACCGGUGGCGAAGGCGGCAUUCUGGACUGCAACUGACACUGAAAGACGAAAGCCAGGGGAGCAAACGGGA
rnacentral:rRNA from 1 species